UACGUAGGGUGCAAGCGUUAAUCGGAAUUACUGGGCGUAAAGCGUGCGCAGGCGGUUUUGUAAGUCUGUCGUGAAAUCCCCGGGCUCAACCUGGGAACUGCAUUUGUGACUGCAAGGCUAGAGUACGGCAGAGGGGGAUGGAAUUCCGCGUGUAGCAGUGAAAUGCGUAGAUAUGCGGAGGAACACCAAUGGCGAAGGCAAUCCCCUGGGCCUGUACUGACGCUCAUGCACGAAAGCGUGGGGAGCAAACAGG
rnacentral:rRNA from 1 species